GUUUCAUAACUGUUUAUCCUGACGUCUCACAAAGAACCGGUGUCACUUAAAGGUGUAGAUGAGUCAUAUUAUGAAAAGUGCACAACAGGGAAUGGUGUCAUCUGUCUGUCUGUGAAAGCAAUGAGUGUGCAGUGAUUCAUUUCUAAUGUAUUUUGUCCUGUGAAUGGCUCCCAGUGUGGUCCGUCAUGCAUUAAAAACAAUACAUUUGGGGCAUUUAAUUUUAACUGUUUUUUUUUUUCUUUUGUCAGGUAAACAUCAGAAAGCUGGUUUAAUCUUUGUGCGGGCAGGUUUUAUCACCCACAUCUUUAUGAGCCUGACAAACAGAGGGCCAUGUGCGGCCAACCUUUUAAACUGGUGUGAUGAACAGCCAACAGAUGCUCCUUGGUUAUAUUGGCCAAGUGAGGGAGUUUAAAAAAGCUGCUCAGUGCAGUGCAGAUUUUUAACACGACGACGUGCAUAAAUUAAAGUGUCACACAGAAUUCAAGGAACGUGUAUGAAGAUAUCAUCACAGGUACACAUGGGCAGUAGGUAAAUAUACUAGAUGGAGCCAGUGUAAGGAUUAUCAGGGCAGGUGAUAAGGAAAAGAGUAAGUGGGAAAGGAGGAGAAAGCAGAUAGAGGUUUUAUUUUUGUUUGAGCUCCAGGUUGCUGGGGGACAAGACAUUAUCACCACUGAUAUAGUCUCACUGACUGACCUACAGUGUCUGCAUCCCCUUCUGCACAGUGUUUACUCCCAAACACUGCAGUUGCAAUAAAAAGAAAUAGACAUACACAGGUGCAUGGCAUGAUUUAGACAAAAAGCAAAGAACCACACAUGUGCAAGCAGGGACGUGCAGAGGGGGGGGCUAGAGGGGCUUGAGCACCCGCCCCUUUCCUGAUGAGUGCCCAAAGUGCCCUUUUGUUGAGGCAACUUUUAAAUUUUUUUUAUUUAUUUAUUAUUUUUUUUGUGUGUGUGUGCGUGCGGAGUCCUGUCUGUGCCCCUCAACAAUAAUAUUUAACUAUUAAUCAUAGUUUUGCUAAAUAAAAGGAUCUGGCUUGCAUCAGUCACAUGAUCACAUUUAACCAAUGAUCGCCCUCGACGGCAGAACGCGCUGGUUACGAGCCGGGAACGAGCUCACAAAGAGCACGCGCAUUUUUUGCGGUCCGGAGCUGUAGGAGAAACACAAGUUAACUCAGAGACACAGACUGAUGCGACAAAACCAAUAAGUAGGUGUACAGCGUACACUGUAGUGUGUAGCACCCAGGAUUAUUAGCUUAUUACGUACACGUUGGUAAGCUGUCUUGUUGCAACUGAC
ensembl:lncRNA